rnacentral:lncRNA from 1 species
AUCGGUAAGUGGCAUGGGUAAGUGGCAGGGUAUAACUUAAUGUUCCAUACUUGUUUUUUAUGUAGGUAAAAAUGGACAAGAUUAACAAAAUUGCUGAUGAUAUAAUUGCUGUAUCAUAUCAAAUAAAUGGAUGCUUUGGAAAGGUAUGAAGAUCAAAUGAUGAACAUGGGAGGUUUAUGAACUCAUCAACAGACAAGAUUAGAAAGCUAGGGAAUGAAGUUAGGAAAGAAGCCAUGAACCUGAAUAACGAACUUUCAAACCUAAAGAAGACAAUGGCAGAAAAUGAAAAAAAAAUUAGAACUGAACUCUGCAGUUUGAAGAAAGAAAAAUUUGACAUGAAGAGAAAAUGUGAAAGAUAUGAAAGAGAGCAAGAAUUUGAACUGGAAAUGUCACUCUUGGAUGACUCAAUAGAAGAAA